UACGUAGGGGGCGAGCGUUAAUCGGAAUUACUGGGCGUAAAGCGUGCGCAGGCGGUUCGCUAAGACCGAUGUGAAAUCCCCGGGCUUAACCUGGGAACUGCAUUGGUGACUGGCGGGCUAGAGUAUGGCAGAGGGGGGUAGAAUUCCACGUGUAGCAGUGAAAUGCGUAGAGAUGUGGAGGAAUACCGAUGGCGAAGGCAGCCCCCUGGGCCAAUACUGACGCUCAUGCACGAAAGCGUGGGGAGCAAACAGG
rnacentral:rRNA from 1 species